rnacentral:rRNA from 1 species
UACGGAGGGUGCAAGCGUUAAUCGGAAUUACUGGGCGUAAAGGGUGCGUAGGCGGUUGUCCAAGUCUGCUGUGAAAGCCCCGGGCUCAACCUGGGAAUGGCAGUGGAAACUGGACGGCUAGAGUGUGUCAGAGGAAGGUGGAACUCCCGGUGUAGCGGUGAAAUGCGUAGAGAUCGGGAAGAACACCAGUGGCGAAGGCGGCCUUCUGGGGCAACACUGACGCUGAGGCACGAAAGCGUGGGGAGCAAACAGG